rnacentral:lncRNA from 1 species
AGACGUGAAUGCUUCCUGUGCUGACGGGAGGAACAAGCUCGCCUAGCCAAAAUAUCUUUUGUCUUUGAGGCUAUGGGCCUGCAAAGAGCCACUAGGUUUUAUUGGAGAGGCCAAAGUCUUGGCCUUGGCUUGCUCCCCGCAAGCCAGGGCGCCACAGAUCAGCGGAUCGGGUCCUCUGCGAAGACGUGGAGGUCCCCCGGGUCUCUUUGUAAAUGAGUCCAGAGACUAAAGUCAGAAUGGCAGCUUAUUCUUAUAUACCUGAAUUGUGGACCCAUGCUUUUUGAAACAAAAAGAGUGUUUCAAGUGUUUUGUUUUAAUUAAAAAUUACUUUCUCCUAAUUCAUCGAGGUCAUUUCAUUUUUACCUGAACAUUUUCAGUAACACAGUUAACACCGAUACGUGAUGUAAUGUUGAACGCUUGCUUUUUAAAAUAAACAUUUUAUGUGGAUUCAUUUACAUUUAAAGUAAAGCAAAUUUACCUUCUCACUAUCCGAAUAAAGAUUUGACUUCAUUGAAAUAAC